rnacentral:rRNA from 1 species
GACGAACGCUGGCGGCGUGCUUAACACAUGCAAGUCGAACGGUAAGGCCCUUCGGGGUACACGAGUGGCGAACGGGUGAGUAACACGUGGGUGAUCUGCCCUGCACUUCGGGAUAAGCCUGGGAAACUGGGUCUAAUACCGGAUAGGACCACUGCCUGCAUGGGUGGUGGUGGAAAGCUUUUGCGGUGUGGGAUGGGCCCGCGGCCUAUCAGCUUGUUGGUGGGGUGAUGGCCUACCAAGGCGACGACGGGUAGCCGGCCUGAGAGGGUGACCUGCCACACUGGGACGGAGAUACGGCCCAGACUGCUACGGGAGGCAGCAGGGGGGAAUAUUGCACAAGGGGCGCAAGCCUGAUGCAGCGACGCCGCGCGAGGGAUGACGGCCUUCGGGUUGUAAACCUCUUUCAGCACCGACGAAGCGCAAGUGACGGUAGGUGCAGAGGAAGGACCGGCCAACUACGUGCCAGCCGCCGCCGUAA